UACGGAGGGAGCUAGCGUUUUUCGGAAUUACUGGGCGUAAAGCGCACGUAGGCGGUUACUCAAGUCAGAGGUGAAAGCCCGGGGCUCAACUCCGGAACUGCCUUUGAAACUAGGUAACUAGAAUCUUGGAGAGGCGAGUGGAAUUCCGAGUGUAGAGGUGAAAUUCGUAGAUAUUCGGAAGAACACCAGUGGCGAAGGCGACUCGCUGGACAAGUAUUGACGCUGAGGUGCGAAAGCGUGGGGAGCAAACAGG
rnacentral:rRNA from 1 species